UACGAAGGGUGCAAACGUUGUCCGGAAUCAUUGGGCGUAAAGAGCGCGUAGGCGGCCCAGUAAGUCCGCUCUGAAAGUCAGGGGCUCAACCCCUGGAUGCGGGUGGAUACUGCUGGGCUAGAGUCCGGAAGAGGCGAGUGGAAUUCCUGGUGUAGCGGUGAAAUGCGCAGAUAUCAGGAGGAACACCGAUGGCGAAGGCGCUCAUCUGGCCCAAUACUGACGCUGAGGCGCGAAAGCUAGGGGAGCAAACGGG
rnacentral:rRNA from 1 species